rnacentral:rRNA from 1 species
UACGUAUGGGGCAAGCGUUGUUCGGAAUUAUUGGGCGUAAAGGGCUCGCAGGUGGUUUGUUAAGUUGGUGGUUUAAUCUCUGGGCUCAACCCGGAGUCAGCCUCCAAAACUGGCGAACUUGAGUACGAUAGGGGAUAGCGGAAUUCUCGGUGUAGCGGUGGAAUGCGUAGAUAUCAGGAGGAACACCUAUAGCGAAGGCAGCUUGCUGGGACGUUACUGACGCUAAGGCGCGAAAGCGUGGGGAGCGAACAGG